GACGAACGCUGGCGGCGUGCUUAACACAUGCAAGUCGAACGAAGAGCGAUGGAAUCUUGCUUCUAUCACUCUUAGUGGCGAACGGGUGAGUCACGCGUAAUCAACCUGCCCUUCAGAGGGGGACAACAGUUGGAAACGACUGCUAAUACCGCAUACGAUCUAAUCUCGGCAUCGAGGAGAGAUGAAAGGUGGCCUCUACAUGUAAGCUAUCACUGAAGGAGGGUAUUGCGUCUGAUUAGCUAGUUGGGGGGGUAACCGCCCACCAAGGCGAGGAUCAGUAGCCGGUCUGAGAGGAUGAACGGCCACAUUGGGACUGAGACACGGCCCAGACUCCUACGGGAGGCAGCAGUGGGGAAUCUUCCGCAAUGGACGAAAGGCUGACGGAGCAACGCCGCGUGAGUGAUGACGGCCUUCGGGUUGUAAAGCUCGGUUAAUCGGGACGAAAGGCCUUCUUGCGAAUAGUGAGAAGGAUUGACGGUACCGGAAUAGAAAGCCACGGCUAACUACGUG
rnacentral:rRNA from 1 species